CCUUACACUUCCGGUCUAUGUCUUUAUAUACCCCGUAUAGAAUGUAUUAGAAUGUUUUGUUAUUGGCCUUUAGUGCCUUUAAUCAAAUACAACUUUCAGCAACGGAUCUCUUGGCUCUCGCAUCGAUGAAGAACGCAGCGAAAUGCGAUAAGUAAUGUGAAUUGCAGAAUUCAGUGAAUCAUCGAAUCUUUGAACGCACCUUGCGCUCCUUGGUAUUCCGAGGAGCAUGCCUGUUUGAGUGUCAUUAAAUUCUCAACCUAACCACUUUGUUGUUGGUUAAGGCUUGGAUGUGGGGGUUGCGGGCUUCACAGAAGUCGGCUCUCCUUAAAUGCAUUAGUGGAACCUUUUGUUGACCUGUUUCCUGGUGUGAUAAUUAUCUACACUGCGGGCGGUCGGCGAUUCUAAUGGGGCUCUGCUUCUAACUUGUUCUUAGCGGAACACUUUGACAAUUUGACCUCAAAUCAGGAGGAUUCCCCUAGUAACUGCGAGUGAAGCGGGAAAAGCUCAAAUUUAAAAUCUGGUAGUCUUUGGCUGCCCGAGUUGUAAUCUAGAGAAGCAUUAUCCGCGCUGGACCGUGUACAAGUGUCCUGGAAUGGACCAUCAUAGAGGGUGAGAAUCCCGUCUUUGACACGGACUCCCAGGGCUUUGUGAUGUGCUCUCAAAGAGUCGAGUUGUUUGGGAAUGCAGCUCUAAAUGGGUGGUAAAUUCCAUCUAAAGCUAAAUAUUGGCGAGAGACCGAUAGCGAACAAGUACCGUGAGGGAAAGAUGAAAAGAACUUUGGAAAGAGAGUUAAACAGUACGUGAAAUUGCUGAAAGGGAAACGCUUGAAGUCAGUCGCGUUGNCUNGGNAUCAA
rnacentral:rRNA from 1 species